GUAUGGGCUGCAAAAUAUCCUAUCAUCGUGGAUAAUGAGAAAAGUAUGCAUAGAUUUCCAUAUAAACCAAUAUAUGGUUUACCUGAUAAUUUGAAUUGUACAAAUGAUUUACGAAAAAAAUUUAAUGAAUGUGAAGAUGAUGCCAGUGAAACAUGGUCAAUUACGAUUGAUGAAUAUUUUUAUGAAACAAGAAAAUUUUGUUGUUUUGCCUGGUCACAAUUAACAUGUGAAAUAUCUGUAGCCAAAGAAUGUGAAAAAGAAUACGCUGAAUUACUUCUACAACAAACAAUAGAUUCAUUUGAUAAAAUUUGUAGUUCAAAAAAUUAUGGCAGUAAAAGCAUUCCUUGUUCGAUUACACCAAAGAUACAGCAAAUAUUAAUUAUUGUUGGUGUGAUUGUUGGAAUAAUAACAUUUUUGUGUUUGAUAGCUGGAUUGGCAUAUAAAUGUAAUCAAGCAAGUAAAAUAGGUAAAUUAAAAACCCAAGCAUACAAGUUAGCUGAAGAAAAUAAAAAGAGGGAAAUUCAAGCCAUAUUGGAUAGUUAUAAAGGACGUGGUGCAAAGUUGAAUAAGCAAGGACAGCCAUCAAAUAUAGGAUCAUCAUUUUUAACAAAAAAGAAUGAUUCUAAAAAGUUACUUGUUACUAGUGGAUCCAUUCGGAAUAUUCCACAAUCUUCCCAAGAUCAAACAGAUAUCAUAAUAACUUCAACAUCAAACCAACCCGAAUUGGAGAAUAUUACGAAACCGGACUCUUCAUCUUUAACAGAUGGAAUUCUCAUUGAAAAUGCUAAUAAAAAAGUAGCACCACCAAAACCACCAAGAAAAUCGAAAAUGUUGGUGAGUCCUACGGCGGAACCGGACAUUUCAUCUUCAACACAGGGAAGUCACCUCGAAAAUGCUAAUAAAAAAGUAGCACCACCAAAACCACCAAGAAAAUCGAAAAUGUUGGUGAGUCCUACAAAACCGGACAUUUCAUCUUCAACACAGGAAAAUCUUGAAAAUUCUAAUAAAAGAUUAGCACAAAGACCAAUACCAAAAAAAUUAAAAUACCAGAAUUUAGGGGAAUUGUGGGCUUCAUUUGCAUUAAAAGAUGAUCAAACCAAUGUUAAUAAAGCAGGUCAGGAACGAAUUCUAAUACCAGUAGACCAGAUGUCUGAUGAAAGUAAAAGAAGAGAAACUGAAGCCAUAUUUGAAAGUUAUAGAGGACGUCCAUUUCGCCAGUAUCAAACAAGGACGAAUAAAAGUAUAACAACAAAUCAAUCAGCCAUUAAUAAAAAAGUAUCGGAUUUAUAAUUUCUGAAUCUUGCAGGUCUUGGUGGAAUUACGUCCGACAUUUCAUCUUCCUCACAAGGAAAUCUUGAAAAUGCUAAUAAAAGAUUAGCACAAAGACCAAUACCAAAAAAAUUAAAAUACCAGAAUUUAGGGGAAUUGUGG
rnacentral:misc_RNA from 1 species